GACGAACGCUGGCGGCGUGCUUAACACAUGCAAGUCGAGCGGUAAGGCCUUUCGGGGUACACGAGCGGCGAACGGGUGAGUAACACGUGGGUGAUCUGCCCUGCACUUCGGGAUAAGCCUGGGAAACUGGGUCUAAUACCGGAUAUGACCUCCUAUCGCAUGGUGGGUGGUGGAAAGAUUUAUCGGUGCAGGAUGGGCCCGCGGCCUAUCAGCUUGUUGGUGGGGUAAUGGCCUACCAAGGCGACGACGGGUAGCCGACCUGAGAGGGUGACCGGCCACACUGGGACUGAGACACGGCCCAGACUCCUACGGGAGGCAGCAGUGGGGAAUAUUGCACAAUGGGCGAAAGCCUGAUGCAGCGACGCCGCGUGAGGGACGACGGCCUCGG
rnacentral:rRNA from 1 species